AUGUCUAUUUACUGAGGAAAAAAAUAAAUCUGUUCUUAUCAGUUUAAUAUCUGAUACAUCCCCUAUCUGGGGACCAUAUAUUAAAUGGAUUUUUCGAACAGGGAGAUGGAAAAAGAGCUUGCUCUGUCCACUCCACGCAUUGACCUGGUAUUGCAGUACCACUCACCUUGGGUUUGAUUUGGGCCUG